GACGAACGCUGGCGGCGUGCUUAACACAUGCAAGUCGAGCGAUGAAGUUCCUUCGGGAAUGGAUUAGCGGCGGACGGGUGAGUAACACGUGGGUAACCUGCCCAUAAGAGGGGGAUAACAUCCGGAAACGGGUGCUAAUACCGCAUAGUUUUCUUGAUCGCAUGAUUGAGAAAGGAAAGACGGCCUUUGUGCUGUCGCUUAUGGAUGGACCCGCGGCGUAUUAGUUAGUUGGUGAGGUAACGGCUCACCAAGACGAUGAUACGUAGCCGACCUGAGAGGGUGAUCGGCAACAUUGGGACUGAGACACGGCCCAAACUCCUACGGGAGGCAGCAGUAGGGAAUCUUCCGCAAUGGACGAAAGUCUGACGGAGCAACGCCGCGUGAGUGAAGAAGGUUUUCGGAUCGUAAAACUCUGUUGUCAGAGAAGAACAAGUCGGAGAGUAACUGCUCCAGCCUUGACGGUAUCUGACCAGAAAGCCACGGCUAACUACGUGCCAGCCGCCGCCGUAAUAC
rnacentral:rRNA from 1 species